rnacentral:misc_RNA from 1 species
GAUGAAGAACGUAGCGAAAUGCGAUACUUGGUGUGAAUUGCAGAAUCCCGUGAACCAUCGAGUCUUUGAACGCAAGUUGCGCCCGAAGCCAUUAGGCCGAGGGCACGCCUGCCUGGGCGUCACACGUCGUUGCCCCCCCAUCUACUCCUUCGGGAUUGCGGGGGGCGGAUGAUGGCCUCCCGUGCGCCUCGUCGCGCGGUUGGCAUAAAUGCCAAGUCCUCGGCGACACACGCCACGACAAUCGGUGGUUGCGAAGCAUCGGUUGCCCGGCGUGUGCGGUCGUCGCGCAUCGAGGGCUCGAAAAAAUUGCCGGGCUCCGGCUCGGCUUUCAACGCGACCCCAGGUCAGGCGGGGUUACCCGCUGAAUUUAAGCAUAUCAAUAAGCGGAGGA